AACAUGACUGCUAUCAGACAUGGUUUCCUCAGCUUGUUGGUGUUUGUACUCUGGAUGAAAGGUCUGACUGAUGGAAGUGAUGUUAACCAGACCCCCAUACUGUGGAGGAAGAAGGGUGAAGAUGCAACAAUACUCUGUGACCACACGAAGGGUGCUGCCUACUACCAGAUGUACUGGUACAGACAGCUACCAGGAAAAACUAUGGAACUAAUUGUUUUCACAUCUACAGCAAAUACAAAUCAUGACUUUGGAGAUUUCAGUGAAGAGAAAUUCUCAGCCACCAAGACUGAAGCUGAGAGAGGAACAUUCACAGUAAAGAAGCUGCAGCCAGAAGAUAAAGGCUUAUAUUUCUGUGCUGUUUAACUGAUGGGACUGAUGUCAACCAGACUCCUCUGCUGUGGAUGAACGAGGGCCAGUCUGCAACAAUGAGCUGUAACCACACGAAGGAUGCUACUUACUACCAGAUGUACUGGUAUCAACAGCUGCCAGGAGAAGGAAUAAAGGAAAUAGUUUUUACUGUAGAAAGUUCUCCACAUAAAUAUACAAACGGCUUCAGUGAGGAGAAAUUCCCAGCAGAGAAGAAAAAUGCUCUGACUGGAUCUCUGACAGUAAAGAAGCUGGAGCCUGAAGACAGCGGAGUGUAUUUCUGUGCUG